UACAGAGGGUGCGAGCGUUGUCCGGAAUCACUGGGCGUAAAGGGCGCGUAGGUGGCGGGAUAAGCGUGUGGUGAAAGUCCGGAGCUCAACUCCGGAUCGGCCAUGCGGACUGUCUUGCUUGAGCGUAGUAGAGGCAGGUGGAAUUCCGGGUGUAGCGGUGGAAUGCGUAGAGAUCCGGAAGAACACCGGUGGCGAAGGCGGCCUGCUGGGCUACUGCUGACACUGAGGCGCGACAGCGUGGGGAGCAAACAGG
rnacentral:rRNA from 1 species